rnacentral:rRNA from 1 species
AAUAGCAGCCAUAUCACCCUGCAGCCCAAGACUGGUUGCCCAUUGAAGCUAAGCAGGGCUGAGCCUGCUCAGUACCUGGAUGGGAGACCUCCUGGGAAAACUAGGUUGCUGCUGGAA